rnacentral:lncRNA from 1 species
UUUGUGUUUUACAAACAAAAUGUAUUUACAUGAAAAUAUUUUAUAAAUUGUCUUGAAAUUGAAUAAUGAUUUUGAAAAAUAGAGUAAUUUGAGACCACUUGUUAUGUUGUAAAAUUUAUGAUUUGAAUCGAAUGGCUUAUGACAAUAUUUGCAUGAAUGGCUGAAUUGAUGUUUCUGUUGAAAUAUAUGAAAUGUGUAUUUAGCCUUGAAAGGCUGUGAAUUACAAUAAUUGCCAUAUCAUGUUAUUGAAUUUUAUUGAUUGGUGGGAUAAUUAUUAGCUUACUGUAGUAGGCAGGUUUCCAUGGACCAGCCUAUUAGAGGGGCACGAUAAACCCCGUUAUAUCUUACCUUAGUAUGAGAGGCGCGGGUGGAUAACUCCUGAGGCUAACAUUUUAGAGUUCACUUCAUGUCAAACCACCAUGUGAGGGGGAACUCAGCCAACGCCAAGGAACGACUAUAUUUUCAAAAUAAAAACAUAAUUUAUGAGUAUGUAACUUUUUAAUAGCCUUGGCGGACUCUGUUUGGGAUAGCCUUCGGCCAAUGUAUCAUUGAUAACUGAGUAUGAGAAUAAUUUUAGCACGAGCUAUGCUUUUAAGAGAUUCAUAAGCCAUACUGAUUACUUGAUUUAAAUAAAUUGAUUUCAUUUGGUUGAAAUAAGUUGAAAGAUGAUAAAUUACAGUUUGAUGAAAUGUUUUAAUAGUCUCAUUUUACUCGCCUUUAGAAAUUUUAAAUGAUAUUUGUUUACUCAUUGGAGUUUUAUAAUCUCACCACCCUCUUUUCCAUCCAUUACAGGCUCGAAAUAGAUUGUAGAUAAUUGAUAUCGGCGAGGACUACAGUUGGACUUGCCACAUCUAAAAAUUGUAGGUUAAUUUUUUUUGAGACUUUUAGUCAUUCGUGGGUCCACGUGUCACUGUAAAUUAAAUUCUAUACUUUGGUUAUCUGUAUUACUGUAUGUAGGAAUUUAUUUUGCUUUUACGUUGUAAAAAUUAUUUAUGCAGUGUUCUUAAAAUAUUAUUUUAUGAGAACAUUAAAUAUUUUAUUCAAUAUUUUUAUUUAUUCUAACAGUCAUAACUUCAUUUUAAACGAAUGUUUUAGACAUCCAAAACUAUUUUUGAUUAUGAAAUAUGUGUUUUCCACUUACUACAUUUUUAACUGAUUUUGAGAUUUUUGGGAAAAAUGACCAAAAUACCCUUGUGCGACAAAUUAUUAUUUUAUUUGUUUUAAGUUGGAAACAGUUUAAAAUCUUUUAGAAUGUGGUAUUUGGCAACAGUUACUCACAAGGGAAAUGAGAAGUUGAUAUUAAAGCCUUGCGGGGUUCCGGAUUGACAUUUUGGGUAAUGAGUGUCGAUCGCGACGUCGCGGCGGUUGUCACGGGCUUGAGGGGAGUACCGGGUCGUGACAAUUCAGGUGGUAUCAGAGCUUUUGGUUUUAAAGAUCAAAGCCUUUGGUUUUAAAGAUUAGAGUACAAAGCUUUUUGUUUUAAAGUUGUUUUAAAAACUACAGUGUCAAUGUGGCCUAAGUUAAGUUAAGUCAGGUUAGGUAGAAUAGAAUACGUGCAUCUGCAUAUAAAUUUUGGAGUUGUUUAGACUCAUUCUGUUUCUUCUUAUAGAUCUUAUGGGAGCUAUAGGAACUCCUGUUCCCAGUAAUCCACUUCCUUGUUAAUGUCAUGCAAAAGUCAUAAGUAGGGUCGUUGUUCGGGUUUAAGAUGCCACCCGUGACACAAGCUAGUGUUGAAGAGAUCUUAAAACAAAUGCUCCUAAUGAAAGAUUAAUGAAAUGAUAUAUCCCUCCGAUUAAGGAUGGAGAAAUUUGGAGUUGGACUAAUAGGCUGUGAUAAUUUAUUCAUUUGGUGGAGUUAUAAGUGAACUCAUGGUUGUCAAUUGGAAAAAGAUUUGGGGACUAUGAAUUUUAUUGGGGUUGAUAUAAAGGAGCACGUGUGAUAAUGGUAAUAAGGGGUGCACUUUGGUUAGAAUGAAUAGUGAUGGUUGUAAUUCACUUGGAGUGUAUAAAUUAAACAUUGAGGUAAGAGUAAACCCAUACUUAUGUGCAUGAAGAUAAGAACACUAUGUUAAUUGAGCUUGUUAUGCCCAUAUAAAAGUGGUAUUGAGAUUUUGAAAUAUUUUAUAUGUGAAUAUGUGUUAAAUAGGUACAACAACUUAGAGGGAACUGGUGUUGAUUUCAAUUAAGCGAUUGUGAGAUUUCAAGAAUUUAUUAGAUCUAUUAUAGUUCAUAGAUAUAAGCACGUGAAUUAACUCGAGAGUGAGUAUCAAUGACUACUAUAAUUGAUGUGUGGUCAUGAUGUAAGAAGUUAGUAAACAAAUUUGCUCUAAGGAUGAGCUUGAACUUUGCUAUGCAUAGUAAGGAAGAGCCAAUGGAUUAAAGGACUAGAUGUGGAAUUGACAGCUUGAGGUUAAAUGACUUGGAAAUGUCGAAUCUAGUCUAAGUGCCAUAUGAAGUUCUAUAAUUGAGACUGAUAUAUGAAUUACUUGAAAGAUCAAUUUAAAAGUUUAUUCAAUUCAAAGUGUGGUCUAUGAUACAAAUGAUCAGUCUUGAAGGUGAUCUCCCCAGAGUAAGGAAUUUAGAAAAUGUUGAUGUUUGGAUAUACUCUAAGAGAGAGAGAACUUCUGUAUCCUAAGUUUAGGACAACUUUGAUCUUAUGAUUGCAAAGGCAAGGUGUGAUAACUAAGUAAAUUAUUCAAUUAAUAAAUGUGAUUGGUUAUUGAUGAAUAAAGUCAAGAUCUUAACAUUUAGUGGUGUAUAAUUUGAUAAUUAUGUAUUUAAGAGUUAUUUGGAGACAAUUCCUUCGUCAAAUUUGCACUAAAUGCUAUGAUAAAGGCAUAUCAAUGUUAAUAUGGAAAAGGUGAAAUUUGAAAUUUCAGUUGCAGCUACAAAAUUUGAAAGGAUAUAAGUGACAUUUAUAAUGGAUUUUUGAUUCUAUGAGGAUUGUGAAUAUAAGUGUAAAGAAAGAUGAAGGUAUGAGAUAUCGAUGAGGAAUAUCAAUGUUAAGUGAUGAAGUAUGAAUAAUGAAUUACAAGUGUUAUAGGGUGAGAUGAAUUUGAAAAUAUUAACUUUACCUAAUAUAUGUGAUGAGCACAAAAAGAUAUAAAUGGUCAUGAAAAUUGUGAUGUAAGCUUGGAGGGAAACCAAACGGUUGAGAAUGAUUAGUGUAGUAACCUUAAAUAUAGAUGAAUAACAUUGAUUAAGUAAACUCCAACAACCACCGUGCCGAUGUGCUAAGAACACUUCAUGUCUAGGACGUAUGAAUAAAAUGAGAUAGAUGUGAAAUUGAACUUACGAGUUGACCUAAAGUCAUUGAACUUGAUUUUAAGUUUUGUUAACUGGAGUUUUAAGGUUUUGGAAGAUAUCGAUAUGAAUGAGUUAAAGUUGAAAUGGUUAAAGGCAUUCCCUUCAAGGGGAGAAGCAAAAAGUCUGGGGUUAAAACUUGGCAAGAAGGUCUUGUAGGGCCUGUCAUGUCGCCCUUAGGCGCGACGAAAACGAGUAAGUCAAGUGAUGGGGACCCAGACAUAACAAUACCUUAGAGUGGGCCCUGAAGAGAAUGCCACAUAAAUGGCUAAGUUACGGGUUAAGUGAUCACAUGUUGUGAGACAUAAGUUUAAGAUAGAUAUCCCCAAGGAAAUACCCAAGAGAAGUUCUGCUGUGAAUCUUGUAAAAGCAAGCACUAAGUUAUGUGAUUAUAAAAAGGAAGCUAUAACCUGAGAGUAAUAUUAGUAUUAAUAUUGAAAAGUACUUGAGGAGAAUCUAGUUUUAAGUCUUGCAAUUUCAAGUACAAUUUGUAAAUUGGUUAAGGAAGAAUGAUGCUAUAUUCGUAUGAAAGAAUGGAACUUUAUUAAAGGAAGCAUAUGGAAAAGCAUAAGAGAAUAUAUUAGUUUGACUUACUAUAAGAGGUCAAAAGUUGGAUGGCCAUGAGUGGCUUGUAAGUAAACCAGGAAUGUAUAGGUAAGUGUGUAAGGGAGCUAUGAUCGAUAGAUAAGAGUAGAACUUUAAUGAUGAGAUAGUGUUUGCUGCGUUAGACCUUGAACCAUAAAAUAUGGAUAUGUAUCCACCUUAUGAAAACUCUGAUGUGAUAAAUUUGAAAGACUUUUCGCAAUGAGAAAACAUUAAAGUUUAAGGAGCAAAUGGCUAUAUAGUCAAGUUAGACUCAUGACUGACAUGUCAUAUAAGUAUGAGGAUGGGAAACAAGCAAAAGUAUUCUUGGAAAUACUGGCUUGAGGCAAUGAUUAUCCUACUGUUUUAUGGAACCGAUGAGGUUCUGGUCUCGACAUAAUUGUAGACGCAAAACAUAAAUUAUGAAAUGUACUUCCCUACAAGUUUCAAUUUAUUUUUUAGUAAUUAUCAAGGCAAAGUAUUUGAUAAUAAGAGGCAAAGGUUGAAUUGUGUUUCGAAUGUUUAGAAAAUGAGGAUGAUACAAUUUGAUUAAAUGACACUAUUAUGUAUAAGGGAAUAGAAAUACGCUACAGGAACUGUAAAGAUUUACUUAAAAAAAGAAAUGAUGAUUCAAAAAUUCAAGUACUCAUGUACAAGUAAGGGUUUGGUGAUGAGAUAUGACAUAGGGUUGAAUUACUCCAAUAUGAACUUCGACUAUAAAAAAAUUUGAAUUAUAUAAUACGUGUUGUUUGGGGAUGAUGCCAACUAGUGGUUAACUCCCAUAUGAGGAUGGAAUAUGUGCAAUCGACUUCAUGUAAUCGAAAGUGUGAAAAUAUGCCUUGAAUGGCAUAAGCCCAUGACUCAAAAUGGAUGAUUAUGGAUUUAAUCUUCUAAGGUAAAAAGGGCUGAAGGAAAUUGAUAUCAGAAAUAUCUUGAUAAAUGAUACUUUGAUUUUAAAGUGUACGUGAGGGGAGAUAAAUGUUUAUUUUCAUCUUCAAAUUGAUAAACUAAUGAGGCCAUGAGAUCUACUGUUUGGAGAAAAAUUUGAGGAAUCACAAGUUAGAUAUGUUUGUAUGUGACGUAUAACUAACAAGUUGAUUAUGACCUAGGAACUAUAAGGAUUGAUUAAGUCCAUAAGGAUACAUCCAAAAGUAGGUUCGUUUAUUUAAAUAUAUCAUGGUAAUAAAAGAGAUUUACUUAAUAAGUACUCGAUCCUAAAAGUACUGGAGUUUUCUUUUUGAGAAUAUGGUUACUAAUGGUUAUCAAAUUUGAAUUAUCUGUGAUGUAAUAUAUAUAUAUAUAUAUAUAUAUGGACAAAUAAAGAGUGUUUGAUCCUUAUGUAUUAUGAAAUGUUUGAAUAGGAAUUGUAGUACACACCCUUUUAGGAGAAAAAUUAAUUUGGAAGUAGUUGUAAUAUGGAAAGAGUAUUCUGAAGUGGGAAUUAUUGAUUGUUGACAAGUGAUAAAGGUAGCGUAACAAUAAGAAAUCCCAUUAGAGACUGAGUUGCGUGGAUAUAAAAGACUUUGGGAGAUAGUUAAGAAAAUGGUAUCAAGGACGCGGUUAAGCUGUACGCGAUAGACUAAUAAGAUUAAGAAAAUUGAAGCUACAUAAAUGUGAGGUAAACAUAAAUAUGAGGAUACGUACCGGAAUGAAUAAGAGCAUCCCAAUGGUUAAAGUAUUGUGGAUGAAUGCUCAAAUGGAAGAGAUGACAUGGGAAGUUGAACAUCACAUAAGAAGACAAUACCCCACCUUUUUUUUUGAGUUCAGUAAAUGAAAUUUUGAGGUCAAAAUUUUAUUUUAAGGGGGGUAGUGCUGUAAAAUCCCGACCUUAUAAAAUACUUGUCAUGGCAUACAUGUGAUGGAUAACAUGUUUGCAUGCUAGGAGAGUCCCAAAAAAUUUACAAAAGUCGGUAUUAUACUUAGAGGUACAAUAAAGUUGAUUUAAGCCUCGAACUAGAUCAAAUAGAGAUUUUAGGGUGAAAUUGAAAAUUUUACAGUCUAGGAAUGAUUUAAAAUAAUGAUUUGGAGUCAAACCGAAAAUUUCACUAUCUAGGGGUAAAAUGGUAAUUUUUCCACUCGAGGAUAAAAUGGGAAUUUUUUUGAAAGAUUUUGAUCAUAUAUGACUUAUUGGAGUAUGAUUUGAGGUUGAGAAGUGAAAAAUUUAGAAUCUCAAUAUUUUUUGAAGCAUAGGGGUAAAAUGGUAAUUUUGCCAACCAAGGGCAAAACAGUAAAUUUCCACCACCAAGACACUUGUCCAGCACAUGAAUUUUACCCAAUAUUAUCAUGGAUAAUUGAAGAAAUUUAUAUGGUGGAGAGAGAAAGCUUAAUAAUUGAGAAAUAAAAAUGGAUCAAUGAAAUGGUGACACAUGGCAUAUUUAUAACCAUUAAAUAUUUGGCUUAUAAAUUAACACAAAUCAGCCCAUUUUCUCUUCAUAUGGCCAGCCAAACCAAGAGCAAAGGAAGAACAAAGGGCGAAAAGAAAAACAAGAACCCUAGGUGGGAAAAUUCAAAGGAAAAUUGGAAGAUUUUAAAGAAUCAAGCAAUCAAAGGUAAAAUUUCUUGAUUUUGACUUGUGAUCUACCUUUCCCAUGCAUUUCUCCUUAUUUUCCAUGGUUAGAUUUCAUGUUUUCAUGGUGAAUUCAUGGCUGGUAAAAAUGGGUAUGGAGAGAGAAAGAUGUUGGAUUGAUUUGAUUUUAAGUUAUGUUAGUGUUUUUAGUUAGUUUAACAUAUUUAGAAACAAAACAAGAAGAAAAGAAUUCAUUUUCCCCCAUCACCAUCAUUGGCCGAAUUUUCUAGGGAGGAUAUUGUGGUUGAAAUUGAUGAUAUUUCAUGAUAUUUUGGUGAUAUUUGAUGUUUGGUAAGACUAGAAAUUAAAUGAGAAAUUUUGGUGUGAAAAUCUGAAUUUUUACCUAAUGAAUAGACAUGUGUGAUUAUUGACCCGAGACUGAUAAAUUGAAUCUCAUUCGUAGCCACUGAGGUAAUUUAGGUAUAAUUGGAGUGUAGAAAGUGAAAGAAAUUGAUUUAGAGUUAAAUUGGAGGUUUUAGCCAAUUACACCAAGAAUAGUGCGAAUUAGGUCGAAUACCGUAUUUAAACGGCUAUUCGGACAUUUUGCAUCACAUUUCGUGCAUUCAUAUAGAUUUAUAGAGCCUGAAAUAGUUAUGAUAAAUUGACACAAUUUAUUGAAAUUCGUGUCACGUAUGAUGUAUAAGUGGGGAGCCCUCUAAUAAGGGUAAAGAGAUUGUGCCCGAAGAUCGGGAAUAGGAGUAUAUCGAACUCCUAGUACUGUGAGUAACCUUACCAUCAUUUUAAUUAUCUAAAGUAUGUUUUUAAUCGGUUUUGGUGAAAUUUUAUGAAAAUGAGUUUAAAUGGUAAAUCUUUGUGUUUUACAAACAAAAUGUGUUUACAUGAAAAUAUUUUAUAAAUUGUCUUGAAAUUGAAUAAUGAUUUUGAAAAAUGGAGUAAUUUGAGACCACUUGUUAUGUUGUAAAAUUUAUGAUUUGAAUCGAAUGGCUUAUGACAAUAUUUGCAUGAAUGGCUGAAUUGAUGUUUCUGUUGAAAUAUAUGAAAUGUUUAUUUAGCCUUGAAAGGCUAUGAAUUACAAUAAUUGCCAUAUCAUGUUAUUGAAUUUUAUUGAUUGGUGGGAUAAUUAUUAGCUUACUGCAGUAGGCGGGUUUUCGUGGACCAGCCUAUUAGAAGGGCACGACAAACCCCGUUAUAUCUUACCUCAGUAUGACAGGCACGGGUGGAUAACUCCUGAGGCUAACAUUUUAGAGUUCACUUCACGUCAAACCACCACGUGAGGGGGAACUCAGCCAACGCCAAGGAACGACUAUAUUUUCAAAAUAAAAACAUGAUUUAUGAGUACGUAACUUUUUAAUAGCCUUGGCGGACUCGAUUUGGGAUAGCCCUCGGCCAAGGUAUCCUUGAAAACUGAGUAUGAGAAUAAUUUUGGCAUGAGCAAUGGUUUUAAGAAAUUCAUAAGCCAUACUGAUUACUUGAUUUAAAUAAAUUGAUUUCAUUUGGUUGAAAUAAGUUGAAAGAUGAUAAAUUACAAUUUGAUGAAAUAUUUUAAUAGUCUCUUUUUACUCGCCUUUAGAUAUUUUAAAUGAUAUUUGUUUACUCAUUGAAAUUUUAUAAUCUCACCACUCUCUUUUCCAUCCAUUACAAGCUCGGAAUAGAUUGUAGAUAAUUGAUAUUGACGAGGACUACAGUUGGACUUGCCACAUCUAAAAUCUGUAGGUUCAUUUCUUUUGAGACUUUUAGUCAUUCGUGGGCCCAUGUGCCACUGUAAAUUAAAUUCUAUACUUUGGUUAUCUGUAUUACUGUAUGUAGGAAUUUAUUUUUCUUUUAUGCUGUAAAAAUUAUUUAUGCAGUGUUCUUAAAAUAUUAUUUUAUGAGAAAAUUGAAUAUUUUAUUCAAUAUUUUUAUUUUA